GAUGAACGCUGGCGGCGUGCCUAAUACAUGCAAGUCGAGCGAACGGACGAGAAGCUUGCUUUUUUGAUGUUAGCGGCGGACGGGUGAGUAACACGUGGAUAACCUACCUAUAAGACUGGGAUAACUUCGGGAAACCGGAGCUAAUACCGGAUAAUAUUUUGAACCGCAUGGUUCAAAAGUGAAAGACGGUCUUGCUGUCACUUAUAGAUGGAUUCGCGCUGCAUUAGCUAGUUGGUAAGGUAACGGCUUACCAAGGCAACGAUGCAUAGCCGACAUGAGAGGGUGAUCGGCCACACUGGAACUGAGACACGGUCCAGACUCCUACGGGAGGCAGCAGUAGGGAAUCUUCCGCAAUGGGCGAAAGCCUGACGUAGCAACGCCGCGUGAGUGAUGAAGGUCUUCGGAUCGUAAAACUCUGUUAUUAGGGAAGAACAUAUGUGUAAGUAACUGUGCACAUCUUGACGGUACCUAAUCAGAAAGCCACGGCUAACUACGUG
rnacentral:rRNA from 1 species